AGCGAACGGACGAGAAGCUUGCUUCUCUGAUGUUAGCGGCGGACGGGUGAGUAACACGUGGAUAACCUACCUAUAAGACUGGGAUAACUUCGGGAAACCGGAGCUAAUACCGGAUAAUAUUUUGAACCGCAUGGUUCAAAAGUGAAAGACGGUCUUGCUGUCACUUAUAGAUGGAUCCGCGCUGCAUUAGCUAGUUGGUAAGGUAACGGCUUACCAAGGCAACGAUGCAUAGCCGACCUGAGAGGGUGAUCGGCCACACUGGAACUGAGACACGGUCCAGACUCCUACGGGAGGCAGCAGUAGGGAAUCUUCCGCAAUGGGCGAAAGCCUGACGGAGCAACGCCGCGUGAGUGAUGAAGGUCUUCGGAUCGUAAAACUCUGUUAUUAGGGAAGAACAUAUGUGUAAGUAACUGUGCACAUCUUGACGGUACCUAAUCAGAAAGCCACGGCUAACUACGUGCCAGCAGCCGCGGUAAUACGUAGGUGGCAAGCGUUAUCCGGAAUUAUUGGGCGUAAAGCGCGCGUAGGCGGUUUUUUAAGUCUGAUGUGAAAGCCCACGGCUCAACCGUGGAGGGUCAUUGGAAACUGGAAAACUUGAGUGCAGAAGAGGAAAGUGGAAUUCCAUGUGUAGCGGUGAAAUGCGCAGAGAUAUGGAGGAACACCAGUGGCGAAGGCGACUUUCUGGUCUGUAACUGACGCUGAUGUGCGAAAGCGUGGGGAUCAAACAGGAUUAGAUACCCUGGUAGUCCACGCCGUAAACGAUGAGUGCUAAGUGUUAGGGGGUUUCCGCCCCUUAGUGCUGCAGCUAACGCAUUAAGCACUCCGCCUGGGGAGUACGACCGCAAGGUUGAAACUCAAAGGAAUUGACGGGGACCCGCACAAGCGGUGGAGCAUGUGGUUUAAUUCGAAGCAACGCGAAGAACCUUACCAAAUCUUGACAUCCUUUGACAACUCUAGAGAUAGAGCCUUCCCCUUCGGGGGACAAAGUGACAGGUGGUGCAUGGUUGUCGUCAGCUCGUGUCGUGAGAUGUUGGGUUAAGUCCCGCAACGAGCGCAACCCUUAAGCUUAGUUGCCAUCAUUAAGUUGGGCACUCUAAGUUGACUGCCGGUGACAAACCGGAGGAAGGUGGGGAUGACGUCAAAUCAUCAUGCCCCUUAUGAUUUGGGCUACACACGUGCUACAAUGGACAAUACAAAGGGCAGCGAAACCGCGAGGUCAAGCAAAUCCCAUAAAGU
rnacentral:rRNA from 1 species